CCUACGGGAGGCAGCAGUGGGGAAUAUUGCACAAUGGGGGGAACCCUGAUGCAGCGACGCCGCGUGAGUGAAGAAGUCUUUCGGUAUGUAAAGCUCUAUCAGCAGGGAAGAAAAUGACGGUACCUGACUACUACUCCCCGGCUAACUCCGUGCCAGCCGCCGCGGUCAUACGUAGGGGGCAAGCGUUAUCCGGCUUUACUGGGUGUAAAGGGGGCGUAGACGGCAGAGCAAGUCUGAAGUGAAAGCCCGCGGCCCAACGGCGGGACUGCUUUGGAAACUGCCCGGCUAGAGUGCGGGAGAGGUAAGCGGAAUUCCUAGUGUAGCGGUGAAAUGCGUAGAUAUUAGGAGGAACACCAGUGGCGAAGGCGGCUUACUGGACAGUAACUGACGUUGAGGCUCAAAAGCGUGGGGAGCAAACAGGAUUAGAUACCCGAGUAGUC
rnacentral:rRNA from 1 species